rnacentral:rRNA from 1 species
CACGUAGGGCGCAAGCGUUGUCCGGAAUUAUUGGGCGUAAAGAGCUCGUAGGCGGACUGUCACGUCUGCUGUGAAAAGCUGGGGCUUAACCCUGGCCUUGCAGUGGAUACGGGCAGACUAGAGGUAGGUAGGGGAGAAUGGAAUUCCCGGUGUAGCGGUGAAAUGCGCAGAUAUCGGGAGGAACACCGGUGGCGAAGGCGGCCAUCUGGCCAAAUACUGACGCUGAGAUACGAAAGUGUGGGGAUCAAACAGG